UCAAGCAAUUAAGAGCGUACGGUGGAUGCCUUGGCGCCGGGAGUCGAUGAAGGACGUGGCAAACUGCGAUAAGCGUCGGGGAGGAGCAAGCAUCCUUAGAUCCGGCGAUCUCCGAAUGGGGUAACCCGGCAGGGGUAAUGCCCUGUCAUCCUGAGAGUGAAUACAUAGCUUUCGGGAAGAGAAGUGGGGGAACUGAAACAUCUCAGUACCCCGCAUAAAAGAAAUCAAGCGAGAUUCCCUGAGUAGUGGCGAGCGAAAGGGGAAUAGCCUAAACCGUGAAGAUGUCAAGCUUGCGGGCGUUGCCUUCACGGGGUUGUAGGAUCGCGCAUGGUUCAUCCGCAAAUGGGCCUAAGAGUUACAAAUUGUUUCUUUAGUCUAAGCUGACUGGAAAGCAGCGCCGCAGAGGGUGAAAGCCCCGUGGGCGAAAAGGAAGCAACUCGAAGCGCGACACCUGAGUACCAUAGGACACGUGCAAUCCUGUGGGAAUCCGGGAGGACCACCUUCCAAGGCUAAAUACUACCCGGCGACCGAUAGUGAACCAGUACCGUGAGGGAAAGGUGAAAAGCACCCCUGUUAGGGGAGUGAAAUAGUACCUGAAGCCGUGCGCUUACAAACUGUUGGAGGGCUAUGUCAUGCGAGCUUGCUCGUGUGACAGCCUAACAGCGUGCCUUUUGUAGAAUGAACCGGCGAGUUACGAUAUGCGGCAAGGUUAAGGGGAUUAACCCGGAGCCGGAGCGAAAGCGAGUCUGAACAGGGCGUUCAGUCGCAUGUUGUAGACCCGAAACCAGGCGAUCUAUCCAUGGCCAGGGUGAAGCAUGGGUAAGACCAUGUGGAGGCCCGAACCAAUAUUCGUUGAAAAGGAUUUGGAUGAGCUGUGGAUAGCAGUGAAAAGCUAAUCGAGCUUGGAGAUAGCUGGUUCUCCUCGAAAUGCCUUUAAGGGCAGCCUCAGGUAAUAGUUGACGGAGGUAGAGCGCUGAAUGGACUAGGGGCCCUACAAGGUUACCAAACCCAAUCAAACUCCGAAUGCCGUCAACCGUAUCCUGGGAGUGAGACUGUGGGGGAUAAGCUCCAUAGUCGAGAGGGAAACAACCCAGACCGCCGUCUAAGGUCCCUAAAUCGAGCUAAGUGGAAAAGGAUGUUGAGUUACAGAGACAACCAGGAUGUUGGCUUAGAAGCAGCCACCAUUUAAAGAGUGCGUAACAGCUCACUGGUCAAGCGAUUCUGCGCCGAAAAUGUAACGGGGCUAAGCUCGGUACCGAAGACGCGGAUUGUAUGUUCCCGAGGGAGCAUGCAGUGGUAGGGGAGCGUUCCAUACGGAUUGAAGCUCGACCGUAAGGACGGGUGGACUGUAUGGAAGUGAGAAUGCCGGUAUGAGUAGCGAGAGAUAAGUGAGAAUCUUAUCCGCCGAAAGUCUAAGGGUUCCUGGGGAAGGUUCGUCCUCCCAGGGUUAGUCGGCCCUAAGCCGAGGCCGAAAGGCGUAGGCGAUGGCGAGCAGGUUAAUAUUCCUGCACCACCUGCACAACGUUAUCACCGAUGGAGUGACGCGGGAGGGUAGGUCAGCACGCUGAUGGACGCGCGUGUUUAAGCCCGUAGGGCGAGGGUGUGUCAAAUGCAUGCCUUCAUACAGCCUGAAAGGCGACGAGGACUCUUUUCUUCGGAAAAGGGGAACUGAUUGAUCCCAUGCCGCCGGGAAAAACUUCUAGGGAGAUGUGCGGGUGACCGUACCGCAAACCGACACAGGUAGACGGGGAGAGAAUCCCAAGGCGAGCGAGAGAACCCUUGCUAAGGAACUAGGCAAAAUAGCCCCGUAACUUCGGGAUAAGGGGCGCCUCAUUAGGGUGUUCGGAAGGGUCAAACCUUCCGGUUAGCUCGAAGAGGCCGCAGAGAAAUGGCUCAAGCGACUGUUUACCAAAAACACAGGUCUCUGCUAAAGCGUAAGCUGAUGUAUAGAGACUGACACCUGCCCGGUGCUGGAAGGUUAAGGAAGGGGGUUAGCGGCAACGCGAAGCUCUCGACCGAAGCCCCAGUGAACGGCGGCCGUAACUAUAACGGUCCUAAGGUAGCGAAAUUCCUUGUCGGGUAAGUUCCGACCUGCACGAAUGGUGUAACGAUUUGAGCGCUGUCUCAACGAGGGACUCGGCGAAAUUGCAAUACCCGUGAAGAUGCGGGUUUCCCGCAGAAGGACGGAGAGACCCCGUGGAGCUUUACUGUAGCCUGGCAUUGGUUUUUGGCCUAGUAUGUACAGGAUAGGUGGGAGGCGUUGAUAGGAGAUCGUCAGGUUUCCUGGAGCCAACCUUGGGAUACCACCCUUAUUAGGUUGAAACCCUAACUCCGACCCGUAAUCCGGGCGCAGGACAUUGUCAGGUAGGCAGUUUGACUGGGGCGGUCGCCUCCCAAAAGGUAACGGAGGCGCUCAAAGGUCCCCUCAGCACGGUCGGAAAUCGUGCGUUGAGUGUAAGGGCAUAAGGGGGCUUGACUGUGAGACAGACAUGUCGAGCAGAGACGAAAGUCGGACCUAGUGAUCCGGCGGUUCUUAGUGGUAGGGCCGUCGCUCAUCGGAUAAAAGUUACCCCGGGGAUAACAGGCUUAUCUCCCCCAAGAGUUCACAUCGACGGGGAGGUUUGGCAC
rnacentral:rRNA from 1 species